CUCCUGGGACCGGUUCCGUGCUGGGUCCACUGGUCGGAGGCAGCCACAUGCUCUCGUUCUCGUCGCCUUCAAUCUCCAUCCGUGAGCGGUGAAAACCUAGAUCGCGUGGGCAGCCCAAUUCAUUCCCCAAUCCUCCCCGCCCCUAUCUCCUCCCCAAUGGCGAUCUCCUUCUCCCCCGCGCGGCGACACCGGACGCUCGGGACGGAGCGGCGCGGCGACCAGACCGGCGCAGUGCCGGGAGGCGCGACGACGGCGGUUCUGGGCAGGAGCCGCCUCCUGAAUCUCUCCGUCAUGGCGCGAGCGAGCUCCAGAUCGAGCGGGGGCGGCUGUGAGCGGCCGCAGCGUGCUCCGGCUCAGGGAAGGGGAGGCCAGGCCAGGGCGGAUUGGGGUGGGGGCCGCAUCUCGCGUCGCACGCAGCCGAGCGGCGAGCAGGCGGAGCCGUAGGGGACGGCCACGACGGCGUGCGAGAGGAGGCGCCGCAGGAGCGCGGCCGGGCCGUCGGGGUCGGGGCCACGAUUCGGCGACCAGGCCAGGGCGCCGUAGCAGCAGCUGGCGGCGGCGGCCAGGCCAGGGCGGAUUGGGGUGGGGGCCGCAUCUCGCGUCGCAGGGAUGAAAGUGGAUUAUAUGCACUUGCAGAAAGCGACGAGGGAAAGUGAAUCCAAUUUUUUAAUAUUUGAGAGCCUCACACCUGCGGAUUUAUGCACUUGCCUUGAAGUGCAACGGUCAAAUUUUGGUCCACCUAUCACUAAAGGAGUAAAAGAGCAGUGUCGACCUAAGGUUACUGCGGAUAGGACUGCGGAAGCUGGCCUGCACUGGAUAUCCAGAUUUUGUUGGCGGUUGCUAGCGGGGAAGAGGGGUGUCAUUUGGAGGAUGAGGAUAAGGAAGGCGGCUAUCGCUGGAAAAACAUGUGGGGCUUUCGUAGAAACUACGGAGAAUUUGGGAUUUGUCUACAUUGCUUCGAGACAUUAUGCACAUAAUAUCAAGUGCAUAAUUAAUGGAAACGGAAGACAUUGGAAGAUGUUGUUUUAGUUGCAGAGGGUGGAGUAUCUGUAAAUAUAGACAGUGAAUGUGAUUUUGAAAAUAUUACUACUGAUGCUGAGUUGCAGGAAAGAAAGUGACUGUUUUGCUCACAAAAUAUUACCACAGUAUGGUGGAGCCUUGCAGGGUGAGGGAGUAGACAAUGGUGAAGAUCAGAGGGCUUGAGCUCACGGUGGUCGCCCAGAUUUCAACAGCUUCGACAGGUAGAGAAGAUUCGCCUUAUAUGUCGAUUGAUUCGUUAAGGAUUCCCAUGCCUUCGGUCAGCUUUGCAAUAUGGAGGUCACUGCUUUGCAAUAUGGUAUGUGCCUGACAGGGGCAGGUAAGAAAACAACCUCAUUUUUGCCUCAGGUCUAACUAGAGAUUAUGUCAUCCAGUUUUAGUGGGCAGUUAAAAGAGCAGCCCUAUUUUCGUUAAAGUUUUCCUGCCCUUCAAUAUAUUUUUGGUUGCAUUUCCAGUCUCUCUUUUUUGCUCUGAUUUGAGGCCUUCAAUCCCCUUUUGGUUGGUUAAUAGUUGUCGCUACUCUUUUCCUUCGUUCAACUUGUUGUUCCGAUUGAAAUUAGGAAAAUUUUAUAGCUAGCAGAAUAAUUAUUUUCAAUAUGGUGCAUUUCUAAGAAAGAAAGAAGAGACGCAUUUUAAGAUGUGGUGAUAACUCUUGUGGAAUGUGUACUUGAUUUGAUGAUAUAGCCUAGGUUGCUUAGCUAGAAAGAAUACCAUCUAAAAAGUGUUUCAUGUUUCAGAUAAGUUGCCUUGUUGGAAGCCAUUAAGCAUCUUUGGUACUGCUUAAGGGCAGCUGCAUAAGUUCUACAUAAGGUGACACCUCGUCUGGGUGGAAGCCCAAUUUGUAUAACAUUCAUGAAGCCAGAUAGUAUAUUUUUUGGUGGUGUUUUGAACUUCUGAUGGAUAUGGUGGGUUACUGCAGCAUUGAGUCAGAUGUGGAAGGAGGGGAGAGAAGGGGCCCGUGCUCUUUAUAGUUGGGAGGAGAGGAUGCGGGAGAAGGAGAGAAAUGGUGGGAGCGGCCUUCCCGACCCAGAGCGACGCCGGCGGCCAGCACCCCGAGGCAGCUAGGGGCCAUCUCGCUUUGUUGCGAGAGGCAGCAACUUCCAGUCCUCUCCAUGGGAUUUGCCCCGGCGGCGAGCAUGGAUAGUCGACGACAGUGGCCUGCAUGCUGAUGUGGGAUUUUUGUAGUUGGCUGUGCUGGCUCUGAGCUCUCUCGCAGGUCAAGGUCUUUGCCGUCAUACUCAGAUCUAGGGCGGCAACUUCAGCUAGGAGUCUCGAGCUGAUGGCAGCAUGUCGACGGAGCUCAACUUACAGUGCAGGUUUGACCACAAUGGACGAGGUCAAGCAGCUAUCGCAGUCGAUGCGGAGCAAAACCAUGAAGGAUAUGGGGCUAUUCAGGUCUGGAGUAAUUUGAUUUGCUGUGUUGGGGAAAGAGAGUGCUAUGCACAUAGAUGCAGGUAUGAGAGAAGAGACCAGUCUUCCAGCGGUUGGAGAGUGAAUAAGUUAUUCAUGAUAGUGAAUCGAGCUGCCUAUCUGCAGCAGGCUGCCUAAGAGGCUGCGAAUAUGGAUCAAAAGGAGCUCCUUGACAUAGAAUGGGGCACCACUCGUGCCUAGAAUGAGUGAUAUCUUUAUGUAUGUAACUAAGGUGCUAGCUUUUGAUUCUAUCUUCUUGUCUGUAUGAUGAAUACUGCUACUGUUGACUUCCUGAUCACCUAUUUCACUUACUGAUUAGCCUCUGCUAUAUAUGAGUUAUUUUUCUAUAUGUGCCUUUGUGUUUUAUUGUUUGCUGAUUAUCAACAUGUAUUCACUUACUGAUUCUACCAUGAUUUUCUAUAAGCUCAUCGUAUGUGAAUAUUUUAUUGCUUUGGAUCUCAUGAUGAACUUU